AAUGACUAUGUCUUUGUCUGCAGCAACUUCAGGCAUAAUUUAGGCACAACAAAAUGAGGGUAGUGAAAAAUAAAAAUGAAGAAACAUAUCAAAAGACUAUUGUAAUAAAAAAUAUAAAUGUGCAUGGAGAAGUUUAUCAUAUACAAUCACACCAAAAUAAGAGAAAAAUAAUUCAAAAGGAGAAGCAUAAAUUAUUACUAUGUUGAAUUCAGUUUACUUCAUGGGCACAGAACAAACAGAAAAACAAUCUUUUGCAGAAACGCCAACCAAAUGUCACCAAAUAAAAAACCAAUACAUUGUUGUUUCAUGUUUGUCAAUCUUAAAAGUCACAUGUCAUUUAAAAAAAUAUGCAUGGUUUUUACUUUCUAGUCCAUACUAUUCACUUAUGAUCUAAUGGUAAAGAUUUGACCUUCUAGUCCAUACUAUUCACUUAUGAUCUAAUGGUAAAGAUUUGACCUUCUGACAUUUACAUUAAAUAACUCCUCUGACUAGUCAUGGUCUUUAUACCUUUAGGCUGAACUCAAAGAAUGCUGCAGCUUAUAUCCAUGCCUUGUGAAAUUUUUAACAUACAAACCCCUAUUAGAACUCAAAAUAAACCCUAAACCCUAAUUACUCAAAUUAUCCAGGGCACGGAACAGACUAACCUCGUGAGUGUGACAGGGCAGGGGAGCCCAAGGCAGUGGAACCUAAGUAUCACAAGCCACUACGGGUGCAUGACCCGCCAUAGUUCAACUAUCAUUUUAAAGUCCAGACGAGUCAAGUCUAGUAUUUAACAUGAUAGGAUGAAUGUUUUAUCUUGUUUGCUUUUUAAAUUAAUAUCUUGUAUGUACAUGCUCUUAAUUGCAUGGUUUUUAUAUAAUUAGUUCACCCUUGCAAUUGCUUGUGUUUGUGCCAUGUUUGCGUUUGUUUCCUUUGCGAUGAUCAUCCA
rnacentral:lncRNA from 1 species